CAAACAUUGUUGAGAGAAAGUGAGAGUGUGAGAGGGAGGGAUGAGAGAAAAUGAGUGAGAAGAAAAGAGACCACCACGGCUAACGUCCACACUCAAGCUGUCAGAGGCUCAAGUGUGUGUGUGAGUGACGAGGACAAUAUGUCUUGAACACACCAACUGACUGGAGUUUCUCUCUGUGACUGUGUGGAUGCUGGACAACAGUCAAAAAUGGAGAAACUGGAACAACCAAAAAGGAAAAACAGGGAGAAAGAGAGCGUUCUAAUGGCCCAC